GACGAACGCUGGCGGCGUGCUUAACACUUGCAAGUCGAACGGAAAGGCCUGCUUUCCCUUGUGGACUGCGGGUACUCGAGUGGCGAACGGGUGAGUAACACGUGAGUGAUCUGCCCCCAACUUGGGUAUAAGCCUGGGAAACUGCGUCUAAUUCCCGAUAGGACUGCAGGGUGGUGCCUGUGGUGGAAAACGAUUUUCUAGUGGUUGGGGAUGAGCUCGCGGCCUAUCAGCUUGUUGGUGGGGUAAUGGCCUACCAAGGCGGCGACGGGUAGCCGGCCUGAGAGGGUCGACGGGCACAUUGGGACUGAGAUACGGCCCAGACGCCUACGGGAGGCAGCAGUGGGGAGUAUGGAGCAAUGGGCGGAAGCCUGAUGCAGCGACGCCGCGUGGGGGAUGACGGCCUUCGGAUUGUAGACUCCUUUCGACCGCGAGGAAGCCACCUGGUUGGAAGGGUGGUGACGGUAGUGGUAGAAGAAGCACCGGCUAACUACGUG
rnacentral:rRNA from 1 species